CUGCAAUCAAUUAAACCAGCCAUCCUUCCAGUGGGGGUUGGUUUGCAAUGACUGCAAACAGCACCCUACUCUGUAGUGUUCAAAGCCUGUUGGUAUGUAUAGGCUUCCCUAAGGGACCUUGGAGACAACC